rnacentral:rRNA from 1 species
GACUACAUGAAGCUGGAAUCGCUAGUAAUCGCAGAUCAGAAUGCUGCGGUGAAUACGUUCCCGGGUCUUGUACACACCGCCCGUCACACCAUGGGAGUUGGAAAUGCCCGAAGUCAGUGGCCCAACCGCAAGGAGGGAGCUGCCGAAGGCAGGUUCGAUGACUGGGGUGAAGUCGUAACAAGGUAAC